UCCUCACUGCAUUUACUGUGAAUAUUUCCUCACUGCAUUUGCUGUGAAUAUUUCCUUUCCUCACCUGCUGUACCAAUUCCAAAGAAAAUUAAACCACACUGAAUUAAACAAUCCAUAAAUUCUUUUACUGGAUUACUGAGUGAUCUCUUUUUUUUUUUUUUUUUUUUUUUCAGUAUCCCCCCCCCCCCCCCCCUUUUUUUUUUUUUUUUUUUUUCAGUAUUACUCCACUGUGAUGGAGCAGCAAGUGAAUGGACAAUUGAUAGAGCCUCUGCAGAUCUACCCACGAGCCUGCAAACCCCCUGGGAAACGGAACAUCCAUGGCCUCAAGGUGAACACACGGGCGGGGGCCACCACCACCAGCACCACCAGCAGCGGCGGCGGCGGCUCGGCCGCCUCCGAGGGGCUCCCCAGCACCAGAUGAAUGAACAAGACAUUCGAUACCGAGACAUCCUCGGCCACGGCAACGGCGGCACCGUCUACAAGUGAGUGGGAAAUCUGGCCAGAAAAAAAAUUCACAUUCCAGUGGAAAAUCUGGCCAGAAGUUCUGGUUCCUUUGGAAAAAUCUGUCCCAAAAAUUCAGUUUUCCAUGUAAAUCUGGCCAAAAAAAAAUAGCAGCUUUCGCAGCAUUUUUUUAAAUUUUAUUUUGUAUUUUGAGUAUUUUUGAGUCCGUGCUGCUCUGCAGGAAAAAGAAAUCUCCGUGUAAAGUUUAAAACCAUUCUGGGGUGUUUUGUUCUGGUUUUUACACAGCUCUGAGUCUUUUCUGGGUGGCAGGAAGGAUUCCCAAGUGGGAUUUGGGGUUGCUGCUGGGAGUGGCAGCAGUGGGAUGUGGUGGCACCUGCAGAAUCCAUCGUUCCUUUUCCUGCUUCUCCCACCCCAAAAUUUUGGCUCUGAAGCUCCCACCCUGCAGCCAGCAUUAAUUUUAAUCUUGUCAAAAUUGAAAUUGCACAGAUAAGCCUCUUCCUGUUGAGAAAACUUCUUGUACAUGAUGCAAAGUUUAAACUACAGAAUGUAAUAUCUGGGACUUAAUAGUCUGCAGUGGGGUAUGAAAAAUAUUCCCGUGGGAAUUAAGAAAUCCAGACUUUGUCAGAAAGCCCUGAGGGAAUAAUAAAGGUUUUUUCCAGAGAGCUGUUUCCCAUCCACA
rnacentral:lncRNA from 1 species